rnacentral:misc_RNA from 1 species
CCAUCCAGCCAUCUUCAUUUGAGCUCUUCAGCUUUGUACCCAUUAGAAAGCUAGGAGCUGACACCAAAUUUGCUCCCAUUGGUCUAACCAACAUGUUUAACAGUGGCGGCACAAUUCAAGAAUUUGGAUAUAUUAUGUCAGCAGCUGAGAUUAGCGUGAAGGUUAAAGUUAAAGGUGGAGGAAAUUUCUUGGCCUACUCGAAUGUGUCCCCAAAGAAGUGUUUCUUGAAUGAUGCUGAAGUUGCCUUUGAGUGGUUUUGUGAUGGCAAACUGACCUUGAGUCUGCCUUGGAACGAAGAUGCUGGUGGUGUAUCUGAUGUCUCAUUUAUGUUUUGAUCAAAGAAUCUAAUUGUCCCCUUGUUUAGAGUGCAUAGUAGCCACGGUGAUGAAAGUUAAAUGCCGUGGCAAACAACU